rnacentral:lncRNA from 1 species
AGAUGUUGAACCUUAUAUCGUUGGAAAGACACGGAUGUUAGCUUUCUGUAGAAUUUUACGGUUCGUGAUUCGGACGUGUGUGGAGAGAGUUGUGGCCGUUUUAGUACAGACAGUUUGGGCAGAAUGUGUUCUGCGGGAUUUGCAAAAUAAUCCUUUUGAAGUCCAAUCCUUGGAGUUUAAUUUGUGUCAAUUACAUUUGGGAAGUGUCUACAAGGAUGUGGAGUUAUUUUCUGAAGUCUGAUCCUAUAUUUAGUAGGAUUUUGGAUGCCAACUCAUCAAAGACAAUUGAAGCCAAACUUGGAAAGCAUAGUUACCAAGUCAAAAGAGGAUUUGUUCCUUAUUUAAAGAAGACCAGAAAAUAGGGUUCUCUUAUGCUGGAAUUCGAAGGAGAGUCAAAGAGCC